GGCAACUAAAGGUUAUCUUGUAGUUAUUUAUUUAUUGGAUCCCUAAAAUUACCAGAAGGUCUUCAUGCCUCAGUAAACUUCUUCUGUUGUUGUUGAUUGGUGGCAACUUGCUUUAUUCUCAGCUAUAGGAAGAUGAUUUCUUCUUUGCUUUUUGGAGGUUUGAGCAUGAAAAGCCAUUUUAGUAAGCCAGAUAAUGAAAAGAGUCCAAACCUUUGCACAUUCUUUCAGUUUUAGCUAGUCCUUAUAAUUUUUGUCAAUUUUAGCUUAAUCGUAUGAUAUUGGUAAUACUUUUGGUCCAUUUAGUGAAUGAGAACCGGAAUGUACCCGUGAUACUUCCU
rnacentral:misc_RNA from 1 species